AAUGCCAAGAGUGGUGAGAGUGAACCAAAACAGCAACGCUGCAGGCCGACAAAAUGAGCUGAAACUUGUUAUAAAGCUUGGUAAAGCCCAGCGAACCAACAGACUCAGCGAAGCGAGAGAAAGAUGAUGAACAGAAUAGGAGGAGAGAGAUGGACGAGUGAUGUUCCCAUUACUGCUCUGUUCAUUUGAGCCCUGGAGAGAGGAGACACGACUGGAAGACAGAUGAAAGGCUACCUGAAGGACGACGAUUCAAGAGAUACUGUCAAACCUUUCUGAUUGGCUUGAUACGUGACCACAUACACCAGAGUGUUAGCCGAGUGUGGAUUGCUUUUCAUGAACAAGAAUAUGGAAGAAACCACUGGGGAUGAUGAAGCCGUUCCUAGCCCAGUCACACCCUGACUCCAAUUGACCCCCUAUUCCUCUCCUUGACCCACUUCAUCCCACCGUACACGACCCCCCUCCUAACCUCCCCUCACCAAUAUGAAUAAACUACUUCUGAU